GCAGUCGCCACGGGAAUACAGAGGGUGCGAGCGUUAAUCGGAUUUACUGGGCGUAAAGCGUGCGUAGGCGGCUUUUUAAGUCGGAUGUGAAAUCCCUGAGCUUAACUUAGGAAUUGCAUUCGAUACUGGGAAGCUAGAGUAUGGGAGAGGAUGGUAGAAUUCCAGGUGUAGCGGUGAAAUGCGUAGAGAUCUGGAGGAAUACCGAUGGCGAAGGCAGCCAUCUGGCCUAAUACUGACGCUGAGGUACGAAAGCAUGGGGAGCAAACAGGAUUAGAUACCCCAGUAGUCCCUGUCUCUUAUAC
rnacentral:rRNA from 1 species